rnacentral:rRNA from 1 species
GAUGAACGCUAGCGGGAGGCUUAACACAUGCAAGUUGAGGGGCAGCAUAGGGUAGCAAUACCCUGAUGGCGACCGGCAGACGGGUGAGUAACGCGUAUGUAACCUACCCUGUACAGGGGGAUAACCCGGAGAAAUUCGGACUAAUAUCCCAUAGUAAUAUCCGGAGGCAUCUUUGGAUAUUUAAAGUUCCGGCGGUACGGGAUGGGCAUGCGUAACAUUAACUGGUUGGUAAGGUAACGGCCUACCAAGGCUAUGAUGUUUAGGGGUCCUGAGAGGGUGAUCCCCCACACUGGUACUGAGACACGGACCAGACUCCUACGGGAGGCAGCAGUGAGGAAUAUUGGUCAAUGGGCGCAAGCCCUGAACCAGCCAUCCCGCGUGCAGGAAGACGGCCCUAUGGGUUGUAAACUGCUUUUCCAGGGAGAGAAACCUGCGCACGUGUUGCGCAAUUGACGGUACCCUGGGAAUAAGCAUCGGCUAACUCCGUGCCAGCAGCCGCGGUAAACUCGUCUCUAC